CCUACGGGUGGCAGCAGUGAGGAAUAUUGGUCAAUGGGCGCGAGCCUGAACCAGCCAAGUAGCGUGAAGGAUGACUGCCCUACGGGUUGUAAACUUCUUUUAUAAAGGAAUAAAGUGAGGCACGUGUGCCUUUUUGUAUGUACUUUAUGAAUAAGGAUCGGCUAACUCCGUGCAAGCAGCCGCGGUAAUACGGAGGAUCCGAGAGUUAUCCGGAUUUAUUGGGUUUAAAGGGAGCGUAGAUGGGUUGUUAAGUCAGUUGUGAAAGUUUUCGGCUCAACAGUAAAAUUGAAAUUGAUACUGGCAGCCUUGAGUACAGUUGAGGUAGGUGGAAUUUGUGGUGUAGCGGUGAAAUGCGUAGAUAUCACGAAGAACUCCGAUUGCGAAGGCAGCUUACUAAACUGCCACUGACAUUGAUGCUCGAAAGUGUGGGUAGCAAACAGGAUUAGAUACCCUUGUAGUC
rnacentral:rRNA from 1 species